UUUACUUGUUGACUAUUUAUGCAAUAAUGCAGUGUGGCGUAGUUUCUCCAAUUAAUCAGUGUAGUUUUUCAACGAAAACAAUCUCUAUCUUUUAUGUUUUGAACUUAAAUGUCACAUUCAUUACAAACUCAUUAUAAAGUGUUCAUGUCAUCAUAAUAACACAGAAUCAUGAAAUACUUCUACUACGGAGUUGUUACUAUUACAUUAUUUUUUAUCCUUUUGGCCAUAGCUGAUUGUGAAAGAGGAAAAAAGAAAAUACCCGAGUUCAUUCUUAUUGUAAAACCAAACGUCAAGUCUCGAGAAAGGAGGAAUAGUGAAACAUGCUGCUUUGUAUCGAACUGCAAAGAAAUACCGUUGAACACUGAAAAUCACAACUUGUUUCAGUGCUACAGAACUACGGUGUGCGGUGACAUUUGCAAAAAAGUGAAUCAGAAGCAAAAAUCAGGGUUUCCUUCAACCCCAGGAUAUCAAAAAAGACUUUAUUACAUGAAAAAAAUAUGUAUAUUCAGGGAAUGUGUGGAUAACAGAAUUGAUUGCAGUGUAUGUCCCAAUCCAGAGAAAGGGGAUUUCAGUAUUUAUAAUUUAAGUGAUUUAUGUCGCGGAUGUUAUUACUGAUAUAUAUUUUUUCUGGAAAUCAGGAUAAUUCAAAGUGAUACAUACAUGUUGUACUACUGUCUCGAAUAUUGAUGAGAUAAUAAGA